rnacentral:misc_RNA from 1 species
AGGGAUACCAACGUGAAAAAGACCAGGGAGGGCAAAACAAAACCCCAAUAAUUCCCCGUCGCCGACUCCACUGAUUUCCCUCGAAUUUCCUUCUCUCAAUAAAUCUGUCGCAAACCAGAAUUUCAAUUCCACUCUCUCGAAUUCACCUGUUUUGCGUUCCAAUUUCGGAAUUCCUUUUUCACCUCUCCCUUAACAUGCGAGGCCAUGAUUGGAUUAACACCUGUCUCCCUGAUGAGCUGAUUGUUGAGAUCUUCAGGCACCUCGAUUCCAAGUCCACCCGUGAUGCGUGCUCUCUAGUCUGCCAUCGGUGGCUGGACCUCGAGCGUCUCAGCCGCACCACCCUCCGCAUCGGCGCCACCGGCAAUCCUGACCUCUCUGUCAAGCUCCUUGCCCGCCGCUUUCACAAUGUUAAAGCCAUUCACAUUGAUGAGAGACUCUCCAUUUCAAUUCCGGUCCAAUUCGGAAGAAGAAGGGGCAGUGAUCAUUCUGUACCAACUCUUAAGCUACACUCCGAGAAAGGUGUAUCUGAAGAUGGCCACUUUGAAUCAAACAGUUUGUCUGAUGCUGGGCUAAGUGCUCUUGGCGAUGGCUUUCCGAG